CGAGUUCGAUUCGAACUCUAGGAUCGCGCCUAUAAAUCUCCCUUUCUUCUCCUCCGAUUUCCACCACUAGAACCGCCAGAAGGUGCCACCGAUUUCAAGUAUUCCUCUCCGAGCCUUCACCUCGAUUCCUCGCCGGAAAACCUCGCCGAAUCGUCGUAGGACCGAGGUACGACCUGAGCUACCCUCUCUCUCGUUUCUAUGGUUUCUUUGGAGCCUAUGGACCGGCCGAAGGUCGCCGGAUUUGGACAGAGUGCUUGGGAAGCUCUGUUAUCCCCCGUUUUCAGAAGCUAAGUCUUCUUCAAUCUCUAUUCGUCACCGACGCAUGUCGCCGGGGCCUUCCCCUUGCUCUUCUCGGUGGUCGGAGGCUCCCUUCCCCCAGUUCCUCUCGGUGGCCUGAGGCCAUGGCCAAGGUCCCGGCCACGGGAUGCCUUUGUUCCACGGUUUAAGGGGUCAUAACCCCUAUUCAUCUUAUGGGCCCGGUGCCGCCAGCGACACUAUGGGUCGUCGGCCGCCAGGGGUCGCUGACCAUAGGCGGCUGCCGCUGCCGAGCACCUAUUCGGGAAGAAGAGAGGGCCUCACAACACUCUUCUUCUUCUCAUAUUUCUUCUCUCCUCUCUCUUGAUUUCUCUCUCUAUCCGAAUUAUUUUUUGCCCUAGAUUCUCUCUCUAGUUGGGGUUCUCUCUCUCUAAACUUGGAUCCAGAGAGAUCAUUGUUUUGAGGGUUCUGGAUUGUCAUAUAUCUUGGAUAAUUUUUAAUGAUGACUUGGUUCUAUAGGAAAACAAUCUGUUGAACGAGAGGACGCUGAGCGGGAUUCUGCGCAUCCCAGUUCAUAGAUCGUUGUGAGGGCGGAUGAUUAGUCUGUCUGAGUUUUUCAACAAAAUGUAAGAAUCUUUGUACGCCAAUCCUGUAUGAUAUAAAUAUUUUUACACCUGUUUAUGUAUGAUAUUCGAUGAUCCAGAUAAGUAAGAAGCAAGAAUAAUUUUAUAUUAAAUUAUAUUUUGAUUGUAUUCACUUAUGGUUGGUAUCAUGAUGGAUGCAUGCAUGCGCAUAACCUACACCUACAUAAUUGAAUUUAUGGAUGUGGUGCUCUAGACUAACUUUGAUAUUAUUUGAUUGCCCGUCGUGGGCUGGAAACGUGACCGUGGUUAAUCUAAAGCUGAAAAUUAAUAAAAAGGAUUGACGUGUGGAUGUGAAAUUGAUUAAAUAAACAUUGACUUUGGGUCGUCUUGUUCCUAUUGGUUUGUCCGUCACAGGCUCUAAGUGUGACAAUAUAGGUUUGCCCGUCACAGGCUCUAAGUGUGACAAUAUGGGUUUAUCCGUCACAGGCUCUAAGUGUGACACUAUUGGUUUGCCCGUCACAGGCUCUAAGUGUGACAAUAUUCGUUUGUCUAUCACAGGCUCUAAGUAUGACACUAUUGGUUUGCCCAUCACAAGCGCUAAGUGUGAUACUAUUGGUUUGCUCAUCACAAGCUCUAAGUGUGACAAUAUUGGUUUGCCCGUCACAGGCUCUAAGUGUGACACUAUUGGUUUGCCCCGUCACGGGCUGAAAACGUGACCGGAAUGUGGCCCAAAGUUAGAAAAAUAAUUGAUCCAGAUCAAGUUGAAAGAAAAAGCAUUGAAAACAGUAAUGAAGAUUUAUGAGCUAUCAUACGCAAUAUUAUUCUUGUGUGGCUAGAUUUUUAUUGAUGUUUGACGUACAUACUUAUAUUGUUUAUUUGAGGCUCUUGAUAUCCGGUUUAUGAUUUCAUGAUAUGUGCAUCGAUUUCUUGUGGUUUUCAAAUUCAUAUUAUUAUUGUAUUGGUAUGGAUGUGUAGGAAUUCUUACUAGACUGUAAAGCUCACCUCCCUUCUUCUUUCCCUUUUCAGAGUUGCAGGAUGUAUAGGCAUGGAUGGGUUGGGCGCGGAGUGCGAGUGUCAGAGUCAUCAAUUAGUUAGAUAAUUUAAUUGAUACCGAUGAAUAUUGAAAGUUCUUAUAAUUGAACAAAUUUGAUUAUCUGGACAUGUUGGAUUUGUCUAUUUAAAUUAAUUAAUU
rnacentral:lncRNA from 1 species